rnacentral:misc_RNA from 1 species
UUGAUUUAUUUAAUCGUGUUACUCAGAAGAUACUGUAUAAAACAAGAGUUUGGUUGGUUCCUCCGGCGGGCGCCUGGUUCCGGGGCUGCGACGCACCCGGGGCGUGACCCCGCCGAGGCAACAGUUUGGUAACGUUCACAUUGGGUUUGGGAGUUGUAAACUCGGUAAUGAUCCCUCCGCUGGUUCACCAACGGAGA